rnacentral:tRNA from 1 species
GGUGGCUCAGUGGUAAAGUGCUUGCCUUGAACGCAUGAGGCCCUGGGUUCGAUUCCUGAGCACCA